AUUGAUCCUCGGCAUUUUGGCUAAGACCUAAUGUAGUAUCUGCUGUUAUCAGUUUAAUAUCUGAUACGUCCCCUAUCUGAGGACAUUUUUUUUCCUAGUAAAAUUAUUUUCUUUAGUGAUAGUAUCCAUA
rnacentral:snRNA from 1 species